CACACAUAUAUCUCUCAUAUAUCACACAUCUCUAUCAUAUAUCACACAUAUCUCUAUCAUAUAUAUCAUACAUAUCUAUCAUAUAUCACACAUAUAUAUCACACAUGAUAUCUCUAUCAUAUAUCACACAUAUAUAUAUCUCACAUGAUAGCUCUAUCAUAUAUAUCACACAUAUCUCUAUCAUAUAUAUCACACAUAUCUAUCAUAUAUCACACAUGAUAUCUAUCAUAUAUAUCACACAUAUCUAUCAUAUCACACAUAUAUCUCUAGCAUAUAUAUCACACAUGAUAUCUAGCAUAUAUCACACAUGAUAUCUCUAGCAUAUAUAUCACACAUGAUAUUUCUAGCAUAUAUAUCACACAUGAUAUCUAGCAUAUAUAUCACACAUAUAUCUAUCAUCACACAUAUCUCUAUCAUAUAUCACACAUCUCUAUCAUAUAUAUCACACAUAUCUGUAUCAUAUAUAUCACACAUGAUAUCUCUAUCAUAUAUAUCACACCUGAUAUCUCUAUCAUAGAUAUCACACAUAUAUCUCUAUCAUAUAUAUCACACAUAUCUCAUAUAUAGCACACAUAUCUAUCGUAUAUAUCACACAUGUGAUAUCUCUAUCGUAUAUAUCACACGUGAUAUCUUGUAUAUAUUACACAUGUGAUAUCUCUAUAGUACGUAUCAUGUAUAUAUCACUAUAUAUAUUGACGAUGGUUAAAUUAUAUUUAUCACAUAUAUAAAUGGUGGAAUUAUAUAUAUAUCACAUAUAUAUAAUGGUGGUGGAGUUACAUAUAUUACAUUUACAUAUAAACGGUGGUGGAAUUUAACUCCUGUGAUGAAAUAGGCUAAGCGCAAAUGCCAUCGAUUCUGAGAAAAGUGCAGGUGGUAGAGUAGUAGUAAAAAUAUCUCCCUGCAGGGAGCCCCCAAUUCAGAAUAGAUUUAGUUCUUCUAAGAUGGUUAGGCUAUCUCUCUUUUAAAGACGUGCCUUUUCUAUUCCUGUAUGCACUAAUCAAAUCUUUAUUGGGAGUCUUCUGUGUGGUGUACAAGGCACUGGGAUGAAUAUUUAAAAGCGCAGUGACUCCAUUUUUCAUAGCUUUUAUAAUUUAGAAAUAAUGCUGAGAAUGAUGGUUUCCAGCUUCAUCCAUGUCCCUACAAAGGACAUGAACUCAUCAUUUUUUAUGGCUGCAUAGUAUUCCCUGGUGUAUAUGUGCCACAUUUCUUAAUCCAGUCUAUCAUUGUUGGACAUUUGGGUUGGUUCCAAGUCUUUGCUAUUGUGAAUAGCGCCACAAUAAACAUAUGUGUGCAUGUGUAUUGCAAGGACAAAAAACCAAACACCACAUGUUCUCACUCAUAGGUGGGAAUUGAACAAUGAGAACAGAUGGACACAAGAAGGGGAACAUCAUACACUGGGGCCUGUUGUGGAGGGGGGGAGGGGGGUGGGAUAGCAUUAGGAGAUAUACCUAAUGUAAAUGAUGAGUUAAUGGGUGCAGCACACCAACAUGGCACAUGUAUACAUAUGUAACAAACCUUCAUAUUGUGCACAUGUACCCUAAAACUUAAAAAAAAAUGCAAUAAUAAUAAUUAGCGCAAUAUGGCAUGUAGAGAAAAACAGUGGCCGAAGCAGAUGUGAUUGAGUCCAAGGUGUGCAAACACUGUGACCUUUGCAUGCUGAAGAGGGAGAGCCUUUAACUCAGAUGCAUUCUGGGAAGGCUGCACGGAGGAGGGAACAUGUUGCGGUUGGAUUCUGAGGAAUGCCCUUUUUUGAGAGUCUGUACUGGUAUAUUUCUUUGUUAGACAUUUUGAUGAUUUCUCAGCCAGGAAAAAAAAACAUGACAUUUCACUCAAACUAACUGCUGCUACAACUGGGGUAUGGGAGUUGACAUUCAUCAUUUUGACUUUAAAAUCUGACUUUCUGAGUCCAUUUAGAUUUAAGGUUUCAUUUUCCCAGAAUUGUCAUGGAGGGGAGGAACGAAGCCACACACUUGCAGUACAGUUGAGAAGAAACAGUUAUGGAAAAAGGCUUGCAACAUUUCUCUUUUUCUUCAUCAAAUUUAUAUCAAAGUAUUUUCUUUGCACCAGAUUCUCAUCUUUGAAUCUUAAUCCGCUAAUCUUCAGGGAAUUUAAGAAAUGAAGGGGCUGGUGCUCCAGCAAAGAUGUGAGUGGAGAGUUUGCAGCAAAGGCUCAACUUACAUAAAAAAUGAGAACAGAAGCAAGAAAAUCACUUGACAUCCAUACAGUAUGGGUGAGAGAGGUGGUGGGUUUUUUUGUUGUUGUUGUUUGUUUUUUUGGGGGGAACCAUCGGUUAAAGAUUCAACAGGAAUAAAAAGGAAGUACUUGAGACUAGUUCGCUCACACGAUGCCUUGUAGCACAAUUUAAAUUAAAAAUAAGGGAAUCGGCCAGGUGCGGUGGCUCAUGCCUGUAAUCCCAGCACUUUG
rnacentral:lncRNA from 10 species